rnacentral:piRNA from 1 species
CAGCACUGAGGAGGUCAGUCUGU